AGAUUGAACGCUGGCGGCAUGCCUAACACAUGCAAGUCGAACGGGAGUAGCAAUACUCUAGUGGCGGACGGGUGAGGAAUACGUAGGAAUUUGCCCUUAAGUGGGGGAUAACCCGGGGAAACCCGGAUUAAUACCGCAUGACCUCGAAAGAGCAAAGUGGGGGAUCGCAAGACCUCACGCUUUUGGAGAAGCCUACGUCGGAUUAGCUAGUUGGUGAGGUAAUGGCUCACCAAGGCGACGAUCCGUAACUGGUCUGAGAGGAUGAUCAGUCACACCGGAACUGAGACACGGUCCGGACUCCGUACGGGAGGCAGGCAAGGUGGGGAA
rnacentral:rRNA from 1 species